rnacentral:misc_RNA from 1 species
ACUUAGUCUGUAAGUAGUCUGCUGCAUUUUAACAUUGAUUAUGAAAUUAGGCCUCUCCAUAAAAACAAGAUCCUCUUCAACUAGACCCUUGAUGAGGAUUUGAUUUGCAUACUAUACUAGACCACAUCCAAAAUAAGGCUGUCAUUAGGCUGUAGCAUGUUGUCCAGUUCUUCUGGUCAUCUUGUAAGAAACAAAUAAGAAA